UGAUUGAAAACAGCUGAAAAGUGACUGAAUAAGAAGUCAGCUUCUGGCUUAAGGGUGUGAAUCAGAAACUGCUAUCUAUUUAAGCUUCAGAAGGUUAGCUUGUGCUUAAGGGUGAGCUGUGUCCUUGAACUAGAGGAGAUUGCGUAGAAGGUGGAAGACAGUGGAAAGGAGCAAGCUACUAGAAGAACAGCCCCUCGUAGCUCCAGUCAUAACAGAGGUGGAAGCCCUAUAGCCCAUAUACCACUGUGUGCAUGAAUUGUCUCCUCCAGGAUGGUGUGAGAUGGUUGUACUGCUUCAGGGGCUUGCUCCUAGGCUGGGCUAGUAUUAGGCCGGCUCAAAACCUCUAAGAAGAAAAAAAAAUAAAAUUGAAUCUAGACUGCUGACACAGGAGCUAUUGGUGUAAUGGGUGGGUGGUGGAUGCUUUUUUCCUAUCCUUUUAGAAGGAGCAUUGGGUGCAUACGUCUCAGGUUGGGCACCACCAGUAAAAGGGAUGGGGAGGCAUCCUGUUGGGGCCAUGCAGGAGUUGAGUGCUCUCAGUACAGUAGGUGAUGUUGUCAGGACUGUCACCUGUCUGGCAUCUCAUAAUUUGUAGAGAGGGCAAAUCUCUGUGAAGUGACAGAUGUAGGCAUGAACCUCCUUGGAAUAAGAGGUUGUGGAAUGAUGCUUCAUCUGUGUAGGUUCUCCACUCACAAAGCUGUUUUUAUAAUAAAAAAAUGCUGUAUACUUUUUUUUUUCAAAGACAGUAGCAUAACCACACAGCUGUAUCAUUGUAUUAAGUAUCCCCCUCCCUUUUUUAUUUUUUUAAUAAAAUAAGUGGUGGCAGUAGAGUAGCAAGUUCAUGUGCAUCCUAGGCAUUGGAGCAGCUACACAAAAUGUUGAGCUUUUACAGUACCCAAAAGCUGUAAUCAAAGUUAGUCAAAAAGAUGUACCACAAAUAUUUUUGAGUUCCUCUGAUUCUUAUAUGAGGCUUCUUAAAGAAUGAUGCAGAAAAUAAGGAAGGAAAAAAAAGUAUUUCAAAUGUGUUCAUGGGCUUAUAAUUGCA